rnacentral:rRNA from 1 species
UACAGAGGGUGCGAGCGUUAAUCGGAAUUACUGGGCGUAAAGGGCGCGCAGGCGGCUAUCCAAGUCAGGCGUGAAAGCCCCGGGCUUAACCUGGGAGGUGCGUCUGGGACUGGGUGGCUAGAGUUCGGGAGAGGAGAGUGGAAUUCCCAGUGUAGAGGUGAAAUUCGUAGAUAUUGGGAAGAACACCGGUGGCGAAGGCGGCUCUCUGGACCGAGACUGACGCUGAGGCGCGAAAGCGUGGGGAGCAAACAGG